rnacentral:rRNA from 1 species
GACGAACGCUGGCGGCGUGCUUAACACAUGCAAGUCGAACGGAAAGGCCCCUUCGGGGGUACUCGAGUGGCGAACGGGUGAGUAACACGUGAGUAACCUGCCCUUGACUUCGGGAUAACUUCAGGAAACUGGGGCUAAUACCGGAUAGGAAUCCUUGCUGCAUGGUGGGGGUUGGAAAGCUUCGGCGGUUUUGGAUGGACUCGCGGCUUAUCAGCUUGUUGGUGGGGUAGUGGCUUACCAAGGCUUUGACGGGUAGCCGGCCUGAGAGGGUGACCGGCCACAUUGGGACUGAGAUACGGCCCAGACUCCGACGGGAGGCAGCAGUGGGGAAUAUUGCACAAUGGGCGGAAGCCUGAUGCAGCAACGCCGCGUGCGGGAGGACGGCCUUCGGGUUGUAAACCGCUUUCAGCAGGGGCGAAGCUUGUGGUGACGGUACCUGCAGAAGAAGCACCGGCUAACUACGUG